GAUGAAGAACGCAGCGAAAUGCGAUACGUAAUGUGAAUUGCAGAAUUCAGUGAAUCAUCGAAUCUUUGAACGCAUAUUGCGCUCUCUGGUAUUCCGGAGAGCAUGCUUGUUUGAGUAUCAGUAAACACCUCAACUCCCUUUUCUUUUUUGAAAUUGGAGCUGGACUUGAGUGAUCCCAACGCUUUCUUCCAAGAAAGUGGCGGGUUGCUUGAAAUGCAGGUGCAGCUGGACUUUUCUCUGAGCUAUAAGCAUAUCUAUUUAGUCUGCCUAAAAAACAGAUUAUUACCUUUGCUGCAGCUAACAUAAAGGAGAUGAGUUCUUGUGCUGACUGAUGCAGGAUUCACAGAGACAGCUUUGCGGCUGACUUUGUAAACUCGAUCUCAAAUCAAGUAAGACUACCCGCUGAACUUAAGCAUAUCAAUAAGCGGAGGA
rnacentral:misc_RNA from 1 species